AUUGAACGCUGGCGGCAUGCCUUACACAUGCAAGUCGAACGGCAGCACGGGUGCUUGCACCUGGUGGCGAGUAGCGAACGGGUGAGUAAUACAUCGGAACAUGUCCUGUAGUGGGGGAUAGCCCGGCGAAAGCCGGAUUAAUACCGCAUACGAUCUACGGAUGAAAGCGGGGGACCUGCGGGCCUCGCGCUAUAGGGUUGGCCGAUGGCUGAUUAGCUAGUUGGUGGGGUAAAGGCCUACCAAGGCGACGAUCAGUAGCUGGUCUGAGAGGACGACCAGCCACACUGGGACUGAGACACGGCCCAGACUCCUACGGGAGGCAGCAGUGGGGAAUUUUGGACAAUGGGCGAAAGCCUGAUCCAGCAAUGCCGCGUGUGUGAAGAAGGCCUUCGGGUUGUAAAGCACUUUUGUCCGGAAAGAAAUCCUUGGCCCUAAUACGGUCGGGGGAUGACGGUACCGGAAGAAUAAGCACCGGCUAACUACGUG
rnacentral:rRNA from 1 species